AUUGAACGCUGGCGGCAUGCCUUACACAUGCAAGUCGAACGGCAGCACGGACUUCGGUCUGGUGGCGAGUGGCGAACGGGUGAGUAAUAUAUCGGAACAUACCCUAGAGUGGGGGAUAACGUAGCGAAAGUUACGCUAAUACCGCAUACGAACUAAGGUUGAAAGUGGGGGAUCGCAAGACCUCAUGCUCAUGGAGUGGCCGAUAUCUGAUUAGCUAGUUGGUGAGGUAAAGGCUCACCAAGGCGACGAUCAGUAGCUGGUCUGAGAGGACGACCAGCCACACUGGAACUGAGACACGGUCCAGACUCCUACGGGAGGCAGCAGUGGGGAAUUUUGGACAAUGGGGGCAACCCUGAUCCAGCAAUGCCGCGUGAGUGAAGAAGGCCUUCGGGUUGUAAAGCUCUUUUGUCAGGGAAGAAACGGUGAUCUCUAAUAUAGAUUGCUAAUGACGGUACCUGAAGAAUAAGCACCGGCUAACUACGUG
rnacentral:rRNA from 1 species